UCCAGGGAACCAUGGCAGCCACAGCUUCUCUAAUUCCAAGCAACUUUCUCUGCCCAGACACUUCAAACUCAAGUUCCUUUGGUGUUCUUUGAUCCAUCUACUAUGGCCUGCAGAUCAGAAGUUACUCAUUUUACACCCUGCUCCUUUCUUGGCCCUCCACACUGCCUGGCAGGCUUCCUAAUCCACUCAUAUUUGUAAAAGGAUUGAUAAUUCAUUCCUUCUCUUACAAAGUAGUUCCUCAAAUCUCUUAGUCUACCUUUUAAUAGAAUGCCUGCUCUCUAUUUUUUCCGUGUUUGAACACGAAGUCUUCUUACUUGUAACAGCCUCCUUCGCUCUGAUCUUUAAUUACAGUAGCUUUCUUCUGGUCUUUUUAAAAGUCUUUUUUGAUACACUCCGAGUAUUUUCUCUGAGCCUCUAAUAUGGUGUCUUUAAACAAUAUCUCUGCUGCUUGCAAACAUUUCACCCCGUCGUGGCUCGUACUAAUUUCCUUUGAACGAGUCUCCUCAUUUUUCGUAGGUCUCCUUUUUAAAUCCAGCACUGUGCUUGGUGAUAUUUUUGGCUGCCUUGUUCCUAUGACUAUACUGGAGCUCAGCACAUUAUGGCUUCUCCUACAGAGUCUCUCUUUGAUAACACCAUAAUGAUCCUGGGCUGCACAAGGAGUUCUUUCUCCAAUGAAUGAAUCUCCAAGGAGUGUUUGUUCACAGGGGACUGAAUCUUUCCUCAGCCCUACUUUUUGGAGGGGACUGCCACCAAACCCCAGUGGCAUCGUCGAUCUGCACAGUCUGGAGCAGCAUGAGGCCCUGCUGGGAUCUGGGCAUUGUCUUCUGCAUCCCAUGAGAGUGGAUGAGAGUGGAGCUAAUGAUCUGGGAAUGGAGUUGGAAAACAUUCCGAUGCUGGGAGCUGUGUGUACUUGCUGCAGAGCUCAUGCAGGUGUGCUAAUGAGAGACUCUGCUCAUCACAAGCCUGAGACCUUGGAGAAUAUUAGUAAAAAUGCCAAUUUGCAUGUCUUGGGGUUAAUUGAGGAAAUCUGUGAUGGAAAAAUCUUGCUGUCACUUCAGAAGCCGGUUCUGAAUACAAAUUGUGUGUCUCCAUUGGAUAUCGCAAAAUUCUUUCAACUCCUUUGCAAACCUGUAGGAACAAGAAGGUUGCUGGCUCCCAGAAGUUUUCCUGAAAAUUUCAGACAUUUUUUUAUCUGUGCUGACAUUAGCAUGGGACUCCUACACCAAGUAUGGAGAAUAUGUGGGAUCCUCCACCAAACAAACAAGAAAUACUCAAACAAGAAAUCUUUCUCAGAUAUUCCCCAGGACACGUGUUUUUCAUAG
rnacentral:lncRNA from 1 species